GAUCUGAUAGCACAACCGGUAGUGCAUCUGCUGAAAAUAACCAGGAGGCAAUGAAAUUAAGCAGAAGACCCUCGUUCGACUCGGCGUCAGGUCA